rnacentral:lncRNA from 1 species
AAAAAGCGACAAGUUGACUUUCCAAUAACUUAGAACAACAGCUCACUCAAUCAGCCCCCCAAAUGGCUGACCAAACCAAACUCCUCCUUAUCAAAACCCAUCUCCUCCUUCCUUCCCAUCUCCAAUCCUCCCGAUGAACGCCACAACCGCAGGCCCCACCCCCGGCGACGGAGGAGGAUUCCUCGGCUCACAGAACAUCGGCGGAUUCGGAUACGGAAUCGGCGUCUCAAUCGGCAUCCUCCUCCUCAUCACCACCAUCACUCUCGCCUCCUACUUCUGCACCC